rnacentral:lncRNA from 1 species
CUCACUAUCAUCCAAGUCAUCUAAAUCUUCAAGUUUAGGUUCAUAGACUAGAUCUUCUAAUGGCAUAUCUAUUACAUUCUUUCGUUCUUCCAUGACUAAGGUUCGAUUAGUACAUUUGGAAGAAAUGUGGCCAAAAUCUUUACAGUUGACGCACAACAAGUGAGAAGAAGACCUUGAAGUUUCAGAAAUUCUACCCUGAUUUUCUAAGAUUGGAGAAUCAUUAGAAGGGGGAGGUCCUAGAAGGGACUUAACGGGAGGAGGUGAAGCCAAUGAAGCCAAAUGAUGAUUAUCAAAAAUUUUACCCUUAUUUUUCAAAAUUGGAGGAACAUCAGAUGGGGGAGGCCCUAGAAGGGACUUAACGGGAGGAAUUGGAGCCAAUGACAACUAAGGAUGAUUGUCAAUAUGCUUUCUACAUGGAAAAGGAGAUUGUGGACUAUCACGACCUUUACAAUUAUUUUUCCAAAUAUAAGGAACAUUAGACGGAGACGGUUUUAUGAUAGACUUAUGAUGAGGUGACGCUAAUGAGAUGGGUGAGCGACGAUGACCACGCUUUUCAUAUGGAGUACUAAUAAUCAACUCAUAAUCUCGAGCUAAAGAGUAAGCGUGAUCAAGAGUAGUGACACCUCGAAGGAAAAGCUCGCGCUUAAGAUCAUCUCUCAGACCUUGGCUAAACCUACUCAAAGUCGUGCUCUCAUCCUCAAUUAAAUGACAUUUGAUUCGAAAUUCCUCAAAUUGCGCGAUAUACUCAGUCACUAAUUGAUUUCCUUGUUUAAGGGCUU